GUCACAUCAACCUGACUCUGUUCAGAGAUGGGCAGCCUGUAUCUGAUCAUGAGAUCACUGGAGGAGAUCUGCUGCCCAAUGCUGACGGGACGUACCAGAUGAGGAAGAGUCUGGAGAUCAGUGCUGCAGACAAACACAAAUACACCUGCUCUGUCACACACCUCAGUCUGGACGACAAACUGGACAUUGAUUUGGAGUAUCCAGGGGAAACAUUUGAGGUGGUGGUUUUGGCAUUGGGAUUGGUGUUUUUGACUGUGGUUGCCAUUUUUAUAUCGAGGAGAAGGUAUCGUUCAGUUUCCUCUUCAAGUAACUACUCUUCUGCUUCUAGUGGGUAUUUUCUGUCCAGGUUGUGAUUUAAUUAAUUUGCACGAAGAAUAACAAAAUAUAAAUUAAUCUGAAUAUUUUCUAACACAUUCUUUUUUUUACCAUCAUUUUCAGCAAGUGAAGAUGGCAUGAAUAAAACCUAAUUUGGUUUCUUGCAAAAACGUAUCAGGGAAUUGGUCUUUGUGAACUGCGGGACAACAACAAACCUGGACAAAUUAUUGCCAAGACUGUUUUUGAUGGCUCCACAACAGAAGAAGUGGGAUAUUUUGGUGGCAAGUAAAGGUCCUUUAAAAUACUCAGAUGAGAACACAAAUCCUUAUCUCCAGCUGUUUAUGUGGUAUCAUGAGAUGUUAUGCUUUCCAAACUGUAUAAAAACUCUCAAGACUUUGACAACAAACUGGACUGUCACUUUGGAAGAUGCACUUUCCAGUUAUCACACAGGUGUUCUGCUAUCUGGUGCUGCUGUCCUGCUGUUGUUAUGUGUGAUUUUGUCAAUAGCAAUAGCCAUUUGCAUGACAAGUCAAGCAGAAAGACAGAGAGGUAGGCCUAAUUUAAUGUUCU
ensembl:lncRNA